UGCAGUCGUGCGAGAAAGUAUCUUCGGAUAUGAGUAGAGCGGCGGACGGGUGAGUAACGCGUAGGAAUCUACCUAGUAGAAGGGGAUAGCCCGGGGAAACCCGGAUUAAUACCGUAUACCUCCUUCGGGAGAAAGAAGGCCUCUCUUUGAAGCUUUCGCUACUAGAUGAGCCUGCGUAAGAUUAGCUUGUUGGUGAGGUAAAGGCUCACCAAGGCUACGAUCUUUAGCUGGUCUGAGAGGACGAUCAGCCACAUUGGGACUGAGACACGGCCCAGACUCCUACGGGAGGCAGCAGUGGGGAAUAUUGGACAAUGGGCGCAAGCCUGAUCCAGCCAUACCGCGUGUGUGAAGAAGGCCUUCGGGUUGUAAAGCACUUUAAGCAGGUAGAAAAAGUUAUAAGUUAAUAUCUUAUAACCCUGAUGUUACCUGCAGAAUAAGCACCGGCUAAUUCCGUGCCAGCAGCCGCGGUAAUACGGAAGGUGCAAGCGUUAAUCGGAAUUACUGGGCGUAAAGCGCGCGUAGGUGGUUUGUUAAGUUGGAUGUGAAAGCCCUGGGCUCAACCUAGGAACUGCAUCCAAAACUAACUCACUAGAGUACGAUAGAGGGAGGUAGAAUUCAUAGUGUAGCGGUGGAAUGCGUAGAUAUUAUGAAGAAUACCAGUGGCGAAGGCGGCCUCCUGGAUCUGUACUGACACUGAGGUGCGAAAGCGUGGGUAGCGAACAGGAUUAGAUACCCUGGUAGUCCACGCCGUAAACGAUGACAACUAGCUGUUGUAAGACAAUGUCUUUCAGUGGCGCAGCUAACGCUUUAAGUUGUCCGCCUGGGGAGUACGGCCGCAAGGCUAAAACUCAAAUGAAUUGACGGGGACCCGCACAAGCGGUGGAGCAUGUGGUUUAAUUCGAUGCAACGCGAAAAACCUUACCUACUCUUGACAUACUUGGGAGCUCUUGUAAUGAGAGUGUGCCUUUUGGAACCAAGAUACAGUGCUGCAUGGCUGUCGUCAGCUCGUG
rnacentral:rRNA from 1 species